GUUGCAGGCUUUGGGAUCCGUGGGGCUCUUGGCUGGAGGGGAACCAGAAGCCUGGAGGAUGCAGGCAUUCUUGCUGCUGCAGGACUCUGUGGAUUGAGCCGAGAUGUGUACAUGAAGUCCAGGAGGAUACAGAACCCUUCAGGGUUGAUUUCAGGAUCCAGAUUGAUCACGCUGAGGUUGCAUUUCAACUGGUCUGUGAAGAUGCUAUAGAAUAGGCCACUGUAAAACAAGCAAAUGUCCCAUUAUAGUAGACAGAAAGAAUCUGUAGGAUGUUAAUAGCAGCGUGGAUGAGCUCUCCUUCCCAGGGCCUAUAUUCUGAACUUCCAUGGAAUAAAUAACAGCUUGGACUUGGGAGAGCUUACCAAAUACCAGAGAGUCCUAAGGCACCUUACAUACAUUUGCCUGCCUUCUUCACAACCCUGUGAGAUAAACAUUACCAUGUUUCACUUUUACAAAGUGGUGACUGAGAUGACAGAGGUUAAGUGAUAUGCUCAAAGUCACAGUGCCUGCUGUUCUUUUAGUCUUAACUGUGUGGAUUACCAAAGUUAAAUUUAGCAUUCAUUCCUAGUAUCUAUUCUUAGUCUACAUUUCUGGGAUGGUUCCCCUCUUGUUCUAUCACCUUAUUCUCUUCUCAAAAAAAAAAUGUGCUGUUUGUUUUUAGGAUAAGAAGUUGGGUAUAGAUGAGAAACAAAUAAAAUGAUGCCUUCACAUACAUCCUACCAUUUUUCCCAAAAGCCCAGAGAUAAUCAAGUCAAUUGUUCCAUGUGAUCAUCUCACUUCAGGCUGUCACCUAUAAGUAGUUGUGCAGCCUUGGCUAAGAUCAAUUAGGGAGAAUAAUAGCAUUACUUUGGAAUGGGCAUUAGCGUAUGAAGGGCAUGAAAUGAUGCCUACCUGAUAAGCAUGGCACACACUUACUGAACAUUGGCCACUAUUGUUAGACCACUAUAAACCUCUGUCCUCUACACUAU